rnacentral:snRNA from 1 species
GCGAGUUCUAUCGGGUAAAG